GCCUAGAAUUCUUUUCUUUUUUUAAAACAAUUUUUAUAGGGGCACCUCAUGCUCUGUGUCUCAAAAAUGAAUAAACGUUAAAAAGAAUUUUGUUUAAUUUUUUACAAAUGUUUAUUUUUGAGAGAGAGAGACAGACAGACAGAGGUGAGCAGGGGUGGGGCAGAGAGAGAGGGAGACACGGAAUCCCAAGCAGGCCCUGGGCUCCAAGCUGUCAGCACGGACCCCGACGCGGGGCUCGAACUCACAAACCGCGAGAUCAUGACCUGAGCCGAAGUCGGACACUUGACUGACUGAGCCACCCGGACACACCAGAGUUAUUUCCUACCUUUGAUUUUGACAGGGGAGCCCAAACUCGAAAGUGGGUCCUGUACUGAAUCACCUCCCAAGGCAAAGAAGGCCAUCCUGGGACUGCUGGCUUCUCAAGUCACUGCCAACCGAUCAGGCCAGCUGGAGCCACCAACUAGGCUUAGAGCUUUGAUCUGCAAUCAAGUUGUACCAAACAGUAUUCCAGUUACGGGGAGGACGUCUAAAGCUCUUCCUGGUCUACUGCCUUAAACAUGACACGCAACAAUAAUCUCCUCAGAGUUCAAGUCCAUCAGCACGAGUAUUCCAGCAAGAAAAUAUGUACUCAUUCCCAGGCUGGAAGCGAAGAAGUCACUGGAUGCUGGAAGAAGUAAAGGGAGGGUUGCUGAUAGAAGCGCAAAAAUGUUUAGUCAUAGCAGAAUGGAGAAUGAAAAUACAUUUUAUUGACUUAGCCGAUGAGCUCAGAAUGGACCCACGCACAGAUCCACGCUUGCAAAGAGAUAAAGACAUGAAACCGACUACAUUACCUCUGAGGAUGCCAACGCGUGCUCACACAUUUUCUCUUCUCUCCCCUUCUGUUCUACGAGUCACCAGAUUCAACAAGUGUCAAAUGCACUUUACAUUAGGCCCCAUCAGCG
rnacentral:lncRNA from 1 species